GGAGAGGGAAGCUCAUCAUCCGGCCUUGCAGAGUGCUUAUCACUCCCAGCCCCCGGCAAGGUCUGAGACAGGGCCCUUGCAUAGGCCUAACAGAGGUGCUCUUGGAGCAGGGAGCUGAGCUCCCAGGAAUCAAAGCUUCAAGAGGGGGCGAGUGGACUGAGCAGGAGAGGCCAUGGGCACAGAGAAUGCAUCCCUCACUGGAGCUUAAAAUGGACUCACUUCCAGCAGCAAGCUCAAUGGCUGAGGAGAGGCACCCGGAAGACCUCAACCCAAUUCAGAAUACUCUUCCCCUGC
rnacentral:RNase_P_RNA from 1 species